rnacentral:rRNA from 1 species
GACGAACGCUGGCGGCGUGCCUAAUACAUGCAAGUAGAACGCUGAAGGAGGAGCUUGCUUCUCUGGAUGAGUUGCGAACGGGUGAGUAACGCGUAGGUAACCUGCCUGGUAGCGGGGGAUAACUAUUGGAAACGAUAGCUAAUACCGCAUAAGAGUAGAUGUUGCAUGACAUUUGCUUAAAAGGUGCAAUUGCAUCACUACCAGAUGGACCUGCGCUGUAUUAGCUAGUUGGUGGGGUAACGGCUUACCAAGGCGACGAUACAUAGCCGACCUGAGAGGGUGAUCGGCCACACUGGGACUGGGACACGGCCCAGACUCCUACGGGAGGCAGCAGUAGGGAAUCUUCGGCAAUGGACGGAAGUCUGACCGAGCAACGCCGCGUGAGUGAAGAAGGUUUUCGGAUCGUAAAGCUCUGGUGUAAGAGAAGAACGAGUGUGAGAGUGGAAAGUUCACACUGUGACGGUAUCUUACCAGAAAGGGACGGCUAACUACGUG